CCUACGGGUGGCAGCAGUAGGGAAUCUUCCACAAUGAGCGAAAGCCUGAUGGAGCGACACAGCGUGCAUGAUGAAGGUCUUCGGAUCGUAAAACGCUGUUGUUAGAGAAGAACAUGUGUAAGAGGAACUGUUCGCAUUUCGACGGUAUCUAGCCAGAAAGCGACGGCUAACUACGUGCCAGCAGCCGCGGUAAUACAUAGGUUGCAAGCGUUAUCCGGAUUUAUUGGGCGUAAAGUGAUCGCAGGCGGUUUGUUAAGUCUGAGGUUAAAGCCUGGGGCUAAACCGCGGAGCGCUUUGGAAACUGGGAGACUUGAGUGAAGUAGAGGAGAGUGGAACUCCAUGUGAAGCGGUGAAAUGCGUAGAUAUAUGGAAGAACACCAGGGGCGAAAGCGGCUUUCUGGU
rnacentral:rRNA from 1 species